AAGUAUUGUAAGCUCGAUUAGCUCAGCUGGUUAGAGCAUGCGGCUGUUAACCGCAAGGUCGUAGGUUCGAUCCC
rnacentral:tRNA from 1 species